rnacentral:rRNA from 1 species
GAUGAACGCUGGCGGCGUGCCUAAUACAUGCAAGUCGAGCGAACAGACGAGGAGCUUGCUCCUCUGACGUUAGCGGCGGACGGGUGAGUAACACGUGGAUAACCUACCUAUAAGACUGGGAUAACUUCGGGAAACCGGAGCUAAUACCGGAUAAUAUAUUGAACCGCAUGGUUCAAUAGUGAAAGACGGUUUUGCUGUCACUUAUAGCUGGAUCCGGGCCGCAUUAGCUAGUUGGUAAGGUAACGGCUUACCAAGGCAACGAUGCGUAGCCGACCUGAGAGAGUGGUAGCCGGCCUUGGAGGUGGACCAGGGUCCUGGGUACUGAGGGAGGCAGCAGAAGGGAACCGGACGCAACAGGCGAGAGCCUGACGCAGCGAGGCCGCGCGAGUUGUGAAGGCCUUGCGAUCGUGAAACUCUGUUAUGAGGGAAGAACCACUGUGUAAGUAACUAUGCAGGUAUUGACGGUACCGAGUCAGAAAGCCCCGGCUAACUACGUG